UGGGGAAUUUUGCGCAAUGGGGGGAACCCUGACGCAGCGACGCCGCGUAGGUGAUGAAGCUUUUUGGAGUGUAAAACCUUGUCACCGGUGAAGAAGGUCGCGCACAUUAAUAUGGUGUGUGAAUUGACGGUAGCCGGAGAGGAAGCCCCGGCUAACUCCGUGCCAGCAGCCGCGGUAACACGGGGGGGGCGAGCGUUAUUCGGAAUUACUGGGCGUAAAGGGCGCGUAGGCGGUCCGUUAAGUGUGAAGUGAAAUGCCUGGGCUCAACCUGGGACGUGCUUUGCAUACUGGUGGACUUGAGUCCAAGAGGGGGUGGUGGAAUUCCUGGUGUAGGGGUGAAAUCCGUAGAUAUCAGGAGGAACACCGUUGGCGAAGGCGGCCACCUGGAUUGGUACUGACGCUGAGGCGCGAAAGCGUGGGGAGCGAACAGGAUUAGAUACCCUGGUAGUCCACGCCGUAAACGAUGUUCACUUGGUGUUGGUGUGAUUAACCACAUCAAUGCCGGAGCUAACGCAUUAAGUGAACCGCCUGGGGARUACGGUCGCAAGGCUG
rnacentral:rRNA from 1 species